UGGGGAAUAUUGCACAAUGGGGGAAACCCUGAUGCAGCCAUGCCGCGUGUAUGAAGAAGGCCUUCGGGUUGUAAAGUACUUUCAGCAGUGAGGAAGGUGGUGUAGUUAAUACCUGCACCAUUUGACGUUAGCUGCAGAAGAAGCACCGGCUAACUCCGUGCCAGCAGCCGCGGUAAUACGGAGGGUGCGAGCGUUAAUCGGAAUUACUGGGCGUAAAGCGCAUGCAGGCGGUCUGUUAAGUCAGAUGUGAAAGCCCGGGGCUUAACCUCGGAAUAGCAUUUGAAACUGGCAGGCUAGAGUCUUGUAGAGGGGGGUAGAAUUUCAGGUGUAGCGGUGAAAUGCGUAGAGAU
rnacentral:rRNA from 1 species